rnacentral:rRNA from 1 species
AAUAUUUCGCAAUGGCCGAAAGGCUGACGCAGCGACGCCGCGUGCGGGAGGAAGCCCAUCGGGGUGUCCCCCGCUGUCAGGGGGGACGAAUUUCCGGGGUGGGAAUACUGCUUCGGGUUGACGGUACCCCCAGAGGAAUCACCGGCUAACUCCGUGCCAGCAGCCGCGGUAAUACGGAGGGUGCGAGCGUUGUUCGGAAUUACUGGGCGUAAAGCGCGCGCGGGCGGAUGUGCAAGUCGAAGGGGAAAUUCCGGGGCUCAACCCCGGAACUGCUCUCGAUACUGCAUGUCUAGGGACCGGUAGAGGUCGGUGGAAUUCCCGGUGUAGCGGUGGAAUGCGUAGAUAUCGGGAGGAACACCUGUGGCGAAGGCGGCCGACUGGGCCGGAUCCGACGCUGAGGCGCGAAAGCGUGGGGAGCAAACAGG